CGUAGCGAUCGAGCGGGACGAUCGUUCGAUUUGAAUCCCAAAGGAUACUUCUUCGUAAAAAUCUCGUAUAAGUUAUUUUUACGAAGAUUACAUCCCUUCUUUUACUAACUCUUUCGGAAAUACGAUCUCCGAGGAUUUUCGGGUGGUAAUUUCGUCGUAACCGUUUUUGACCCCAACAUUCUCUCUUACUUGUUCUUUCGGAUUUCUCUAAGACAUUUGAAAUUGAAUGUGAUGCAUCUGGUGUAGGAAUUGGAACAAUGCUGAUGCAGGAAAAAAGGCCAAUUGCUUAUUUUAGUGAGAAAUUUGGUGGAGCUAUGCUGAACUAUCCCACUUAUGACAAGGAGCUUGAUGCUUUGAUCAAAGCUCUUUAAACCUGGCAGCACUAUCUCUGGCCAAAGAAGUUUGUGAUACACACUGAUCAUGAGUAUCUCAGACAUCUAAAGGGUCAACACAAGCUGAACAAGCGUCAUGCCAAAUGGGUUGAGUUUCUUGAAACAUUUCCUUAUGUUAUCCAUUACAAGCAAGGUAAAGAAAAUGUGGUAGCUGAUGCUUUUUCUAGAAGGUACACCUUGCUGUCUUCAAUGGAAACUAAGUUGUUAGGUUUUGAACAAGUGAAAACUUACUAUGCCGAGGAUCCUGAUUUCAAAGAGUAUUUUGAAAACAGUGAGAUGCAUACCAGUGGCAAGUUCUAUCAAGCAGGUGGGUUUCUAUUCUUUGAAAACCAUUUGUGUGUGCCUAAAUAUUCUUUGAAGGAAUUGUAUGUCAGGGAAUCUCAUGGAGGAGGCCUGAUGGGACACUUUGGUGUAGCUAAAACCCUCAGCAUCUUGAAAGAACAUUUCUUCUAGCCAAGCAUGAGAAAGGACGAGGAGAAGCAUUGCAGCAGAUAUAUAGUUUGUACUCAAGCCAAAGACAAAAACCUACCUCAAGAUUAACCUUGAUGGAAAGGCCAAGGGUGAGUAUGUGGUUUCUUUGCAUCAACAGGUUAAAAAGAACAUUGAAGAAAUGACUGAAGAGUAUGAGAAACAUGCCAAUAAGAAGAGGCGUGAGUUGAUACUAAAACCAUGAGAUUUUAUGUCAAUUUACUUGAGAAAGAAUAGAUUCCCUGCUUAAAGAAAGUCAAAAAUCUUGCCAAGAACAGAUGGACCCUUUAAAGUGUUGGAAGGCAUCAACAACAAUGCUUACAAAAUUGAUCUUCAAGGUACGUAUGUUGUUAGCUCUACUUUCAAUGUUGCUGACUUGAUCCCUUUUUGUGUAGAUGAAUCAGAUUUGAGGUCAAAUUCUUUUAAAGGAGGGGAUGAUGCAACUAUGACUGAACCAGUAGCUGAAUUGGAGUUGAAUGAGACUGACACGGAACCAUGAGCUGGAAAGGAGCUGAAUGAGAGUGACACUGAAGAGGAGCAUGAUGAGCUGAACCAGAUCGAUACCUAAGGCGUGAUGGGCCUAGCUGGAGAUGGAACACUUCGACCCAAUCUUUUACAUGGAUCAGAUGGACUUUACUCAGCCCAAACCAAUCAAGACAAGGAUCCAUUCUGCUUGUCUAAGGGCCCAAUUACUAGAUCACAAACCAGAUUACUGAAAAAAAUCAAUUGCUGCUUUGGUUUACUCUGAACCAAACGGAAAUCAAGCCAAGGAACCGAGCCAACUCUUCUCUUAUUCAGUCUUUGGACGGUCUAAAUGUUAAUUUCGAAAUCUAAGUUCUAAUACUUUUUUUUUUCAAGUUUUGGACCUUUCAACUUAUUUUCUUUCUUUGUUGCUACUUAAACUCUCUUUUGUUUCUGAAAAACCUAUUCACUCUUUUUAUUAAAAACUUUUGCUCAAAUCUGUGAAUCCCUUGUUCAUCUUUGAACACUCAUUGCUAAAGAGUUCAUUAUCUAAUUGCAAAACUUGUCUUUGAUUAAAAUAGAGUUCAUUCUCUUGAUCUUAGACUCAUCAUCUACACAAGAUCUGAUCAAUCCAUAGAUCACUUCAGAAGUUCAUCCCAUCAAAACAAUCACCCACGAACUGAAUCAAACCAUUUCUCUCUCAAAAUAACAUAUCUUCCUUCAAGAAUCAGGGACAAAAAGGAUAUCCUCAUACGGGAUUCUUCAAGUAAUGUCAGAGUAAUAAAGUGAAGAAAAGUAAGAACACACAAGAUUUUCUUUUCAAAUUCACUAGAACAAAAAGUGUAACCAUAUAUCGUUUGGAUUAUAUUGGUUCGGCUGGGAUAUAUCUGAAGUCAAAUCCAAAUUUUAAAAGCAAAUAUAAGAAAUAAAUACUUAUUUACAUAUAAUUGGAUAUUUAAGGUACUUAUUUAAAACUUAAUUACUUAUUUUUAGAUAUCAUUUCAAAAUAAAUAUAGACUUGAAUAUUUGAAGUACAUAUUUAUGUUUCAAAUAAUUAUAUUUGUGAUUAAUUUUGGUUAUCAGAAUUGCUUUAUGGAUUUUUUUAGUUUUAUUUUUUAUUUUUUUGAUUAUCCGCUCGUGUUCGGGUAAUAACUGUGUAUGAAUACGGUGACAUUUUAAUAUAGUUUUCAGAAUACUUUAAAUAUAUGCAGUGUUAUUUUCUUAAUAAAUGUGGUGUCAUGGUUAAUACGUUAGGAUCCUUUUGUAACAAGUCUUGUAAGAAUAAACUAGAUUGAAACCCGUGUUUUGCAUGGGAUGAGUUUACUUAAUAACAUAUAUGAUAUAAUGUACAAGAAACUAUAGUAAAAAAAUUCUAUUACAAAGAAAAUCUUUUUUUUCACAAAAAAAAAAAAGAAAAUGUAUUUUUUUUGUCCACUUUGAAUUUAUUCUUGAUAUGAACUAGACUAUUUUAAAAAUUUGACGAACUCACUAUAUCUGAUGGGCUGCUAACGUUAAUAAAAAAUAUGUUUAGUGUAAUGUUUUGAAAAACUGACCAGAUAUUGAUUCGGUAUUUGUAGCUAGGUUAACGUUUAAUGUUUUAAAAAACGGACCGGACAUUGACUCGGCAUUGUAGUUGGAUCAACGGUUGGACUGGUCCAACUCUUUCGACCAGAUUUUAAGUUUUAAUCUAAUUUAAAAUUAAUUAAUUAUGUAUAUUGUAUAACUAAAAAAUUAUAUAACUUUAUAUCAUUGUUAGAAUCUAAAAAUUAUAUGAAAAUAAAAUGAUAACUUCAAAGAUAAUAUAAUAAUAUAAUGAAAAUUAAUUAAAUUAAAUAAAAAUUAAAAAUAAUAUGGAUUUUAAUGAAAUCUUUUUAAAAUUUAUAUUUUUUACCUUUUAACUUGAAUUUAAGAAAACCAAGUUUUAAUAUCGAAUCCGAUCACCAGUUUUGGUGAGUUUGACUAGUUUUAAAUGAGUUUGCCGAUUUAACUGAAACCCAGUUUUUAGUGCAAUCCAAAAUCGAUUAUAACAAGUUACAGUCCGAUUGGUCCAGCUGCCGGUCCGGUCCAACCGGCUGGUCCGAUCCGGUUUUCAAAACACUGGUUUAAUAUCACAAAUUAUUAUUAUUAUUAUUAGACUUUAUAUAACUAAUUAGUCGAAAACAAAAAUAAUUUUACACAAAUCUGAUAUUAUUUUAUUUAUCUUGCAGCAUUUUGUGAUUUAUUGAUCAGAGAGGACACUAAAAAACCUCUUAUAAAAUGAUGGACUUUAUUACAACUUAGAUAAAUGAUCUUUAUCAAAAACAUCAUUAUUUCCAAUUUAUUAUCAUAUACUUAGAAUCGAACGUAAAUUUGUAUCUGAUGUGAUUCAUAGUAACUAUAUCUAGGUGAUAACCUACAAGUUACCUAUUUAACAUAGAAACAUAAAUUUAUAUUUAGUGGGAACAUAAGUAUAUAUUUACUGGGAACAUAAGUAUAUAUCUGAUGUGAUACAUAGUAACAUCGUGGAAGCCCUUUUGGUUCAGUGGUUUGAGUAAAUGUUCAUUAAUGCUUCUACAUCAAGAGAUUUGGGUUUCAAUUUCCAGAGAACGUGAAAUUAUGCAAAUUAAAAAAGAAUAAACAUACAAGAAAUCUGCAGUAUGGCGCAAUGAGCACUAUCGAGUGUGGAUCCCAUAGGACGGCCAGGUGAUGCAGUCAGGCGUGAAUCCUCAUGCGGCAUAUAGAAUUGUCGACUGUAAAAUCGUCUAUAAUAUUUCUCAUAGUUGUAAAAGCAUAAUUAUCCAGCGUUAAAAAAUUCUAUAAACAUAAAUAUAUAUAUUUAGUCGGAACAUUAGUAUAUAUCUAAAAUCAACAUAAAACUUCCAAAUAAUUAGAAUUAAGUGAUACACCAGAUAAAAUUACAAAGUCGCAAUUUACUAUUUCACUUGGGUAAGAGUUGUGUCUUCCGCAUGGUGAAUUUAUAUGAAAAUUAUUUAAGAAAUAUCGUAUGAAAUAUAAAAUUUACAUUCUUGAUCGAAUUAAUAUUUUUUGGCACUUAAAAUUUUUUUAAUUUUUUUUUGUUAAUUACAUAAUUUGUUUACUGAUGAGCUGAUUCCAUUUUUAAAAAUCUUUUAGUU